UGUCGCACUAUAUAAAAAAAAAAUGCGGUAAUACAAUGCGUUUGAUGCGAUGAAACACAACCGGUUUUAUUUUUAGCCGGAUUAAUGUGGAAUACGACGUAACGUUCCACUUCAUUUGAACUCCGUUUUACUGUAUUUUUACUUUUUUUCAUUAGGAUUUUAGUCGUCAGUUUUCUGGAUUCAAUUGGAUUUAAUCACCCUGUUGUACAUCUACCUACAUAGAAAUCUGACCAUAUUGCGUCUAGGAACAUCCAUUUCGGUCAUUUUGCGGUAUCGCUUGUCCUGUCUGAACGAUGCUGCUUUACUGAUGCGGAUUAAGAAGCGUAACUAAACUGUAAUAUGGAUCUGUUUUCAAUUUUUUAAGUCUUCUAG